rnacentral:snoRNA from 2 species
AUAAGCCAAUGUGCUCGUAGUCUGAAUAACUCAGAAAUUGAUAGUGUUUACAUCAGCUUUAUCUCUGCUUCGGCCUUGGGAUAUUAGUUAAACUAGAACACUAUAUUA